GGAUGCCUGCCAUAGAUGCAGGAGAAACGUCAGGAGAAAAUGCCUGUGGAACAAAACCUUCGACACCACAACCAGCAACGAGUUGGCCUCUGCCUGGAUUUGUUGGAACUGUGCUGACUUAAAUAUGAGACCGAGGAAUGGGAUCAUACAUCAUGGAAAAAAAAGCAAUAACAAAGAAAGUGGAAAUGGAACAUGCAACAUGAAGGAACACAAAAGAACUAGAACUGAGUCUCUAGAAAGGAAAUAUAACAUUUCCUGUUUGAAACUUGCAGUGGAGUUCAAAAUGUCUUUAAUCACAUUUUUUUUAAUAAAGGUAUGUUUUUGACCCAAUAAGACUUGAAAUGCUAGGCAUUUGAGAGGAAUGAGAGGAAUAGCUUGAAUCUUACUAAUCACAGAAAAUGAUGUAAAAUAAAGUGGCAUUAUGUAGUAUCCAUCCAUCUUACACAAUUACAAUGAUUCGACUUUAACUGCCAUGGCUGCAUCCUAUGUUAUUCUGGCAUUUGUAGUCUAGUAAGGUACUUGAGUGCUUGGAAAAGAGUUCUCAAUGCCUCUCCCUAAAGUGUAAAUCUCAGAUUCCAUAGAAUGAACUCAUAUUAAUGAAUUUGAAACCAUUGUGCUAUGGUUGAGUAGUGUGAAUGGGCUCCUUGGUCAGGCGACAUGCAAUUCACACUUGGCUGUGAAUUAGAUUUUCUAUGAAGGAAAUGGAGAUGCAGGCACACACCUGGGUCUUAUUAUUGAUCCUAACUGGAGUAGACCCAAUAAAUCAAUAGGUUGUACCUAUACGCUGAUCCUCCCAUUCAAUGAUUCAUUGGGUCUAUUUUAGUUGGGACUGAGUUGUCUUAGAAUCGUACGCAUAUGUUUGAAAUGUGCCACAGUUCUGGUCUUAAAAGGACCAUGAUGUUAUGAAUGAAAGUUAAUCCCUACCAUGUUUUGUACUGUGGUGACAUAUACACAGUCAUAAAAUGUGAACAUUUGUAAUUUACAAACCCACUUAUCAAUACAGUGCUGAAAUAUGCAGUUCUAUCAUACCCUAUUGUUAGAGUGGCAUAAUGAGAACAAACCCUCCAAUUUGAUGGGGAUUCUGCAACACAUGUAAGGUCAUAGCUUUAUGGUCAAUCUUAACCAACAACUAGGUAUAUUUAGUCUUCAUUGAACAGGUGUAACAUAUAAACAAAGCCAACAACACACAGCAUUCUGAUAAAAGGAAAGCAGAAAGAAAACAACAAAAGCAAGGAGGUGAAGACAGGAGCUGAGCUUGAAAGAUAGGGUUGUUGGUCAUUUAUUUUUCCAUGGAACUCAGUGGAGACAACCUUCCAAACCCCAUUGCUAUUCGGUUCUCAUCUAUUUCAGAACAGGAAUCCCACACAUGUUCCAUGAGAAGGCACAGAGUGUGCCCAACAGCAAUACUGGGCAGCUUGUCCCAAAUGGGUCAGCUGGUUUGCAGCUGGAGACCUCUGGCAACUCGAACCCCCUCCUUUACAUUCUUGCUAUGGAUUGAUAUCUCCGAGGACUCAUCCCCCUUUGUUUCUUUCUAAUGCUUCUAUCAUCAGGGCUAAACCAUUGUCACUUCGUGCAGUAAUGUGAGGAAAUACUGCUUCUGUUCAAUGUAAAUCUCAAUUUUAGUCUAUCAUUGAGUUUUAAGGUAACAUAAGACUCAAAUAGCAUUCAGAUUUGAAGAAAGAUCUUCCCUUAAGCUUAGAGUUUUAAAUCAUUGAUCUGUUGUAUUUAUUAGAGGUAUUAUAUAGUUGAAUCAAUUUUAAGUAUUUGACAAAUGUUUUUUUGAGACUAAAGCAUGUCUGCAUAUCCUUGUUGGAAUAAAAGAAAAGGAUUGUGCUAA